GUGGGGAAUAUUGGACAAUGGGCGAAAGCCUGAUCCAGCCAUGCCGCGUGUGUGAAGAAGGUCUUCGGAUUGUAAAGCACUUUAAGUUGGGAGGAAGGGCAGUAAGUUAAUACCAUGCUGUUUUGACGUUACCGACAGAAUAAGCACCGGCUAACUUCGUGCCAGCAGCCGCGGUAAUACGAAGGGUGCACGCGUUAAUCGGAAUUACUGGGCGUAAAGCGCGCGUAGGUGGUUUUGUAAGUUGGAGGUGAAAUCCCCGGGCUCAACCUGGGAACUGCCUCCAAAACUGCAUGACUAGAGUACGGUAGAGGGUAGUGGAAUUUCCUGUGUAGCGGUGAAAUGCGUAGAUAUAGGAAGGAACACCAGUGGCGAAGGCGACUACCUGGACUGAUACUGACACUGAGGUGCGAAAGCGUGGGGAGCAAACAGGAUUAGAUACCCCUGUAGUCC
rnacentral:rRNA from 1 species